rnacentral:rRNA from 1 species
GACGAACGCUGGCGGCGUGCUUCAUACAUGCAAGUCGAACGAGAAGCUUACUUCGGUAAGUGGAAAGUGGCGGACGGGUGAGUAAUGUGUAGAGAAUCUGCCCUGUACUGGGGACAACAGAGGGAAACUUCUGCUAAUACCCCAUAUGAGCGUACCUGCGAUGGUAUUCUUGAAAGUUCCGGCGGUACAGGAUGAGUCUGCAUCUGAUUAGCUAGUUGGUGGUGUAAUGGACUACCAAGGCGACGAUCAGUAGCUGGUUUGAGAGGAUGAUCAGCCACAAUGGGACUGAGACACGGCCCAU